rnacentral:rRNA from 1 species
UACGUAGGGGGCAAGCGUUGUCCGGAUUUAUUGGGCGUAAAGAGCGUGUAGGCGGCCCGACAGGUCCGUUGUGAAAACUCGAGGCUCAACCUCGAGACGUCGAUGGAAACCGUCGGGCUAGAGUCCGGAAGAGGAGAGUGGAAUUCCUGGUGUAGCGGUGAAAUGCGCAGAUAUCAGGAGGAACACCGAUUGCGAAGGCAGCUCGCUGGAACGUUACUGACGCUGAGACGCGAAAGCGUGGGGAGCAAACAGG